rnacentral:rRNA from 1 species
AAUCAACGCUGGCGGCGCGCCUAACACAUGCAAGUCGAACGAGAAAGUGGAGCAAUCCAUGAGUAAAGUGGCGUACGGGUGAGUAACACGUGGAUAACCUGCCCUUUAGUGGGGAAUACCGUUGGGAAACCGACGACAAUACCGCAUAAGCUCGAGAGAGGAAAGCAGCAAUGCGCUGAAGGAGGGGUCCGCGGUCGAUUAGCUGGUUGGUGAGGUAAUGGCUCACCAAGGCUGUGAUCGAUAGCCGGCCUGAGAGGGCACACGGCCACACUGGCACUGAAACACGGGCCAGACUCCUACGGGAGGCAGCAGUGGGGAAUCUUGCACAAUGGGGGAACCCUGAUGCAGCGACGCCGCGUGAGCGAUGAAGCCCUUCGGGGUGUAAAGCUCUUUUGUGCGGGAAGAUAAUGACGUACCGCAAGAAUAAGCCCGGCUAACUUCGUGCCAG